rnacentral:rRNA from 1 species
GACGAACGCUGGCGGCGUGCUUAACACAUGCAAGUCGAACGGAAAGGCCCCUUCGGGGGUACUCGAGUGGCGAACGGGUGAGUAACACGUGAGUAACCUGCCCUUGACUUCGGGAUAACUUCAGGAAACUGGGGCUAAUACCGGAUAGGAAUCCUUGCUGCAUGGUGGGGGUUGGAAAGCUUCGGCGGUUUUGGAUGGACUCGCGGCUUAUCAGCUUGUUGGUGGGGUAGUGGCUUACCAAGGCUUUGACGGGUAGCCGGCCUGAGAGGGCGACCGGCCACAUUGGGACUGAGAUACGGCCCAGACUCCUACGGGAGGCAGCAGUGGGGAAUAUUGCACAAUGGGCGGAAGCCUGAUGCAGCAACGCCGCGUGCGGGAUGACGGCCUUCGGGUUGUAAACCGCUUUCAGCAGGGGCGAAGCUUGUGGUGACGGUACAUGCAGAAGAAGCACCGGCUAACUACGUG